UAUGUAGCUGGAUCGCCAAUCAGUAGUGUUUGAAAUUUGCUUUGAUACAUCAUUUGCAAUCACCUUUCUCCCAGUUCGGUGAUUUUGGAUUUGAAAGUUUUAACAAAAUUAGGUGCAAACGCAUUCAUCAAUGAGAGUUCAAUUAUUUAUGGUUUUUGAUAAAACUUUUCAACAAGAGCUGGUUGGAAACAGAUUCUCAAGUGAGAAAUGUGUAGAUUUUGGGCAUAAAUGGAAGAGAAUUUAAACCAUUUUGGAAAGUGCGCUUAUAUUAAACGUCGACAUCAUUUCUUUUGGAGAACCUAUAAUAUGUGGAUUCAAGAACUAACUUUAUUUUGUUGUUUACUAGAUAUCAUGAAGAAAUUUUUGUUAUUUUUCUUUAAGUCAGUUGGAGCAGUGCAUUUAUACCACCGUGAUAUGGUCACAACUCAUUGUCAUGCUUAUUAGAUGUUACAGUUGAUUUGCCAAUUGCCCUGGAUAGACAGCUUUGGGAGUGCCUGUACAUCUAUUAAGAAGUUUCAGAGUAUUGAUUGUUUAAGUCUUGUAGCACCCCAAGGAUAAUUCUAGUUGGAAGUGCACCAGAUAUCAAAUUUUUCGGUCAGAUCCUGUUGAUAAGCUUGGCUAUUUUUGGAUGCUCUGAUGCAGACCGAAUAAAUUAGACUGUUAUUUGGAUUCUCUAAUUUUAAUUUACUGUAUAUUUGUGUAAUCAGGUGGUACAACAUAGAGAAAGGCAAGAAAAAAAAACAAAUCUUAAGUAGUGAGGGAGAAGUAAUUAAGUGAGAGCAGAUGGCCAAUCUAGAUUCUAGGCAUAAGAGGAAAGUAGUAGACAGAGACGGACAAAAAGAAGAAACAAGUUUUAUUAAUUAAAUCUCAUCGUACAUCAACCUUAGUCGCGGACAAAAAGAAGAAACAAGUUUUUUUAAGUGAGAGCAGAUGGCCAAUCUAGAUUCUAGGCAUAAGAGGAAAGUAGUAGACAGGGACGGACAAAAAGAAGAAACAAGUUUUAUUAAUUAAAUCUCAUCGUACAUCAACCUUAGUCGCGGAUCCCUACUUUUCUCUUCUAUAUAAGCAGUAUCAAGUUGGCCCAAAGUAAGUUUUUGGUUAUCCAUGAACAUUCCUAAUGGAUGUACUAUCAUAGGAGUCUUUUUUUUUUUCAAUAAAAUUUGUUAUCUUCCAUUGAGCCCUGACAUUUCUAGAGUCUAGAAUUGUUGGGAGAUAAUUGGAGUGAAUUUCCUUGUUGGUCCUUUGAUGCUCUUCACCGCAACGAGAUUUUCUGAGAAAACCCAACACUACUUAUUUUCCGUAGAGUGACCUUCCUUAUCUUAGCUGUAAUUUUAAGUGUAGCUGGGACUGAACAAUUAGAACUUUAAUGUCUGUCAUUAAUGGCACCUGUUCUAAAUUCUCUUACUAUUUCUAAGAGGGAAAAUUAGAAAAUAAGUAUAAAGUUUUAAUUGGAGAUAAUUUGUUAGUUCCAGAUGACAUUUUGUAAGUUACUACUGCUUAAUGUUACAUAUGACUGGUUUUGAUGGUUGCUAAAAUGUCAUGGGAAUAAUAUGCCCUUUUUUUUCUUACUCUGUAUAGCACCAAUUAGUUUGAUUACGCUUCUUUAGGUUAUGUCUCAAACUAUAGCAACUACCAUUCUGUUCUUUUUAAAAGCAGAUUUUUCAUCUGUUUCAAGAAAGGAACAUAGCAAACAAGAAAUGAUUCAUAAAUCCAAUUUGUUUGCAAAGUUAAGAUUUUUUUUUAGAUGUUGAGGUUGGAAAUAAGCAUGGAUAAUUCAAUAUAAUCUUAUGAUAG
rnacentral:lncRNA from 1 species